rnacentral:lncRNA from 1 species
ACCUCACACUGAUCCGAAUGGCCAUCAUUAAAAACGUCUACACAUAAUAAAUGCUGGAGGGGGCAUGGAAAAAAGGGAACCCUCCCACACUGCAGGUAGGAAUGUAAACUGGUGUAGCCACAAUGGGGAACAGCAUGGAGGUUCCUCAAAAAAUUACAAGUAGAGUUGCCAUAGGAUCCAACAAUCCCACUUCUGGGCAUAUAACCAGAAGAAACUCUAUUUUAAAAAGAUGCAUGCAUCCCAGUGUUCAUAGCAGCACUAUUUACAAUAGCCAAGAAAUGGAAGCAACCUACAUUCCAUUGAGAGGUGAAUAGGUAAAGAAGAUGUGGUACACACACACACACACACACACAUACAAUGGAAUGCUACUCAGCCAUAAAAAUGAAAUUAUGCCAUUUGUAGCAAUAUGGAUGAACCUAGAGAUUAUCAUAGUGAAUAAAAUCAAUCAGAAAGAGAAAGACUAAUACCACAUGAUAUAUAGAGAAUCAAAAAUAUGACACCCAUGGUCUGAUCUACGAAACAGAAACAGACUCACAGACAUAGAGAAAGGACUUGUGGUUUGCCAAGGGGGAGGUGGGAUGGGGGGAUAGCGUGGGAGUUUGGGAUUAGCAGAUACAAACUAUUAUAUAUAGAAUGAAUAACAAGGUCCCACUGUAUAGCACAGGGAACUCUAUUCAGUACCCUGUAGUAAACCAUGAUGGAAAAAGAACAUGAAGAAGAAUCAAUAUCCGUACAGGCAGAACUGAACCACUUUGCUGUUCAGCAUAAAUCAACACAACAUUGUCAAUCAAGGAUGCUUCAAUAAAAACACAUUUUUAAAAACAGUAUCUUUGGGGGAAAGCUGGGGUGACUUUAGGGCUCACCUCCCUUGUUCCCUUUCUGGCCUGAAUCCCUGUCCUGCAUUUUCUGUUUUCCACUGUCUUAUAAUAGUGGUUUCCUAGUUUAUCCAGCUCCCUACUUGUUCUCGGUGGGAGAGCAAAUCUAGUCCUCAUUACACUUCAGCUUGACUACAAGCAGAAGAAUCUACAGCCAAUUUUCAACAUCACAUUUAUUUGCACGGUUGUUCUGUGCCAGGAACGACGUUAAUCAUUUUUUCAUUGAUUACAUCACUUCAAAAUCCUUUCAGGGGCAUAUAAAGAGAAUAAAAUGAGAUUUAAAGAAGUUAAGAAUUUAUUGAGUAAUAAACGGCCAGCAGUAAAUGGCAGAGCCAGAAUUCAAAUUCAGGCAGUUGGACUCUGCAGCUGAAGUGCUCAAUCACUUUGCCAUUGAAAAAUUUGUAGGUGACACACAGAUGAACAGUUUUUAUUUUAAAUAGCAAAUAUAAUUUAAUGUAUAAUAGAAAAACUAUAUCACAUAAAAGCUAUGAUUUUAUAGAUAUUUUUCCUUGGGACAGGAGUGGACUGUUUUCCAUCAAAAGAGCCCAUUUCUAUAUAUAUAUCUGUAAUCAGACAGGGGAAGAACCUGCUAGUGAGGUGACAACAUCGGAAGUUCUGGGACACAGACAACACAAUUUGUCCCUUCUGGUUUGGUGAAUGUGGUUCCAGGCUGACCCCUGUAACCAUGUGUAUCUAGAUAUGAAUGAAAGUAACUAAUUUUACAUAAAAGGAACCAUGUAUCACAAGUUGCUUUUUUCAUACUAUUAUAUGUGCCAGACUUUGCCCUAACCCAUAAAUAUAAGGAGUUUAAGGCCCGCUCCUCAGGCUUUUCUGUUGGGGUGAUGCUCUUUUUACCUGCAAGAUGUUUCAGGGGAGAGCUACCUCUUCAUGGCUGCUGUGUAAGCCCAGGGUUCUGGGGUUUCUGGGCCAAGCCCUCAGUUUUCAGAGCCUGCACAGAGCCCUGGAGAAAAUGCAUCUACUUCACCGUGCAAGCUGGAGCUUACUCAAACUGCAGCUUGCCAAGCGUUUGGUCCAGCAGAACUCCUAUCCCUGGGCCCAUCCCCUGGGGGCUGCUGCCAGUUCACAAAAGACACUGGCCUUCCUGGCCUCACUCAGCUCUCACUGGAUGCCCACACGCGUGACCAGCAGGGCAUGAUUGGGCCCAGCACUGGAGACUGACUUAUCUGGGGGAAGCCAGGACUCCAUGCUAAGGAAGUUUUUUCAAGCCGUCACAACCCCAGGGACAGGGACUUGGGGCACCACACUCGUUUGAGGUCAGUGUGGCCAAGUGACCCUGGCACCUGUGAUUUCAGCCCCUGCUCUGUAGGGAGAACGUGUUCUCUGCCCAGACUACAGUCCAGAUGGAGAGGCACCACUGUAAUGGGCCCUUCUGACCAUCUUGUAAGAGGUUUGAAAUUCAGAUUUCCAGGGACACGUGGUACCUGCACUGCUGAUUAGAGCUGGAGUUUCAAGCAGAGAUUCAAGAAGGUAGGGGUGGUGGCUCUGUACAGGGACAAAAGGGCCCAGCUGCAGCCAGGUCACACAUGCACCUCCAGAAAUGUGCCUGAGAGACAAAUGCCCAAGCAGAGUCAGCUAAGGGAACAGAGUGGGGACAUGGCCAGAGUGCAGAGGCUUGCAUGGGGACCCCACGCCCACUGAGAUGUCAACUCAAAACCUGGAGCUCACCUACUGCUUGGAUUCUGUUUCAAUCGCCAGCUUUAUGUUGUGUUGGAAAAAACAACUCCAGCACAUUUGUGUCACUGGUGGUCAGAAUGGCCCUUUGCAUUUUCCUUCUCCUGCCAGGAGUGACACUUUUGUCACCCGGAAGCUGCUCUCAGGAUACCUGUGGCUGCUGUGUCACAAAGAACUAAUGCUAAUGCCUUUGGCCCUAAGUCCCUCACUCGGGGUGGCGGGGUUGGGGGCGGGGUGUCUCCAUCCAGGGGCAGAACCUUCCUCCUACCGUUUGGGGAGGUUCUCCACUCUGCCCCAUGCUCCCUGUGUCUCUCUUCCUCCUCUCCCACUGGGAUUUUCUUAUUUUCUACUGUUUUUUUUUUUGGGGAAAAGCUCCAGUAAAGAACCUAUUCUAAACCACCUCCGGGCAGGAGCAUGCCACAGCUCCUACGGCUUUUUAAGGUUGUACGAAUCAACAGGUACCUUUUAUUUCUUUCUCAAAGGCCUGAUGAUGUGUUAAAUUUCCCCUUUUCAGUUGGGCCCCCAGAUGAGCUGCUCACCCAGCUCCUCUUCCAGUUCGGAUAAGAAGGGUGCCAUGUCGGAAGGACAAAUUUACACCUCAAAGUACUGUCUGAUUUUCAACACUGGAAAGCAAAGCUGUACUUUUACACCCACCAAGCACAGCAACAGACAGGUGCCACUAAGGCUUUUAUAUCUGAUGCACGUCUUCCUUCUUCUCUGACCGUGGCUCUCCCCACACUCUGGUCAUGCCAUCUCUUAUGUCUCAGGCAGUGCCAUGUGGUCACUCUUGGGGGGCCUCCAAGUCACCUCUGAGCUGUGCCUUUUUGGGGGUCUGCUUCUGACCCCAUUCCCUCUCCACGGUCAUUCAGACCCUUAAAACUCUCAUCUCAGACAACUGCAGCCCCUUUCAGCUGAUCCCGACCUUCAGAUGCUCCCCGGCCAACCCAACCUGCUCCCAGACCUCUGUCUAAAAUUCUCAUGUUAUUUGAUCACCCCUUUGCUCCCUCUGGCUUAGGAAACCCAAUCCAGAUCCUGAGUGGAAAGCCACAUAAUGUCUUUUCUCUCAAAGGAAAUCUUGGUGACUCCAUUUUGCUCCUAUUCGCCUUCCUGCGACACCACCCCCUCCUCAUUCCCUCUUCUCCCAGUAACCAUUUGUUUCAAAUGAGCCAACCAGGAAGAAUGUGCGCCCUGACCUGACCAAUGGGAAGGGGACAGGUCCAUCACCUGCCUUAGGGAUAAAUGGGGGAGGGGGGUCCUUUGUUCGGUGCCCACGCUUUUUGGAGCACCCGCGUCCUUCUGCAGAAGUAAAGAGCCUUGUUGAGAUCUCCCCGUGUUCAUGUGUCUCAUUUUUUUUCCGACACUGACGAUCUCAGCCAUGUCCCCAACAUGAAGCCUGGUGCUCCAGGCCCUUCACCGUCUAGCUUCCUCCUACCACUAGGCAAGGGCCGCCUUGGGCCCCCUUCAACUUGCUCCUCGCGCCCCCCACAUCACCCCUAGGCUUCUCUCACAGGCAGCCCUACUCCCACCCCAGCAAGCCAGCAGCCUCCCUCCAAGAAAGCCCCCUGGUGGCCAUGUGUCUGCCGGUGACCUUCCCCUGUGCGUGUCUGUGUCCGCAUCUCUUCCUAAUGACCUCAUUUUGCCUUAAUUAUUUCCUUACAGGCCUUAUCUCCCAACUACAUUGUGAGUUACUAGGCUUAGGCUCUAACGCGAAUUUUUUUGCGGGGGUUGGGGCACAAUUCGGCUCAUCCCAGGUCCUCAGGCCUCUUCCAUCCCCCGUCCUCAGACUGUGUUACGGAGGGAAUGGCUGUGCUCUCCCAGGGGCACGACCAGACCUCCUGCCUCCCUGAGGGGCCCAGAGCUGCCCCACGCUUUCUGUGCCCCGGACCCCACUGGGAGUUUGCCUCCAGUCCUCUCUGAGUCUCAGAUUCCUCGGCUGUGAAGUCAGGACAAUAAGAAUGUAAGUUUGUGACAAGAAUUAAUUUAGACAAGAGUCAUUAAGGAUAAGAAUCGUGCCUGGAAUAUAGUAACCUCCCGACCAAGUGACGGAAUCACUAUUGUCACCUCUCCUGUGAGUCCCCAGGCUCCCUGUCCACACCUCCUGGUGUACCCCGAGAUGCUCAGCUUUCAAGACCUAGACAGGGGCAUGAAGAGUGGCUUAUCCAGCAGGGAGCCAGUGUUCCAGGGAUGUGGGACAGGAGCCUCUAGAGUGAUGGACAGACAGACAGGAAUAUUAUAUAUAUUCAUAUUAACCCUUGUACUCAUAUAUCCCACUAACCCUUAUUUUAAAAUACUGGUCAUGGAGUUCCCGUCGUGGCGCAGUGGUUAACGAAUCCGACUAAGAGCCAUGAGGUUGCGGGUUCGGUCCCUGCCCUUGCUCAUGGGUUAAGGAUCUGGCAUUGCAAUGAGCUGCGGUGCAGGUCACAGACACGGCUCAGAUCUGGCAUUGCUGUGGCU